AGAGUUUGAUUAUGGCUCAGGAUGAACGCUGGCGGCGUGCUUAACACAUGCAAGUCGAACGGGAUAUUGGAAGCUUGCUUUGAAUAAUCUAGUGGCGGACGGGUGAGUAACGCGUGGGUAACCUGCCGUAUGCUGGGGGACAACAGUUGGAAACGACUGCUAAUACCGCAUAAGCGCACAGAGUCGCAUGACUCAGUGUGAAAAACUCCGGUGGCAUACGAUGGACCCGCGUCUGAUUAGGCAGUUGGCGAGGUAACGGCUCACCAAACCGACGAUCAGUAGCCGGCCUGAGAGGGUGAACGGCCACAUUGGGACUGAGACACGGCCCAAACUCCUACGGGAGGCAGCAGUGGGGAAUAUUGCACAAUGGGGGAAACCCUGAUGCCAGCGACGCCGCGUGAGUGAAGAAGUAUUUCGGUAUGUAAAGCUCUAUCAGCAGGAAAGAAAAUGACGGUACCUGACUAAGAAGCCCCGGCUAACUACGUGCCAGCCGCUGC
rnacentral:rRNA from 1 species